rnacentral:rRNA from 1 species
AGCGAGAUGUGAAAGCCCCGGGCUCAACCUGGGAAUUGCAUUUCGAACUGGCGAACUAGAGUCUUGUAGAGGGGGGUAGAAUUCCAGGUGUAGCGGUGAAAUGCGUAGAGAUCUGGAGGAAUACCGGUGGCGAAGGCGGCCCCCUGGACAAAGACUGACGCUCAGGCACGAAAGCGUGGGGAGCAAACAGGAUUAGAUACCCUGGUAGUCCACGCCGUAAACGAUGUCUACUCGGAGUUUGGUGUCUUGAACACUGGGCUCUCAAGCUAACGCAUUAAGUAGACCGCCUGGGGAGUACGGCCGCAAGGUUAAAACUCAAAUGAAUUGACGGGGGCCGCACAAGCGGUGGAGCAUGUGGUUUAAUUCGAUGCAACGCGAAGAACCUUACCUACUCUUGACAUCCACGGAAUUCGCUAGAGAUAGCUUAGUGCCUUCGGGAACCGUGAGACAGGUGCUGCAUGGCUGUCGUCAGCUCGUGUUGUGA